CCCUUAGAUGUUCUGGGCCGCACGCGCGCUACACUGACGAAGUCAGCGAGCAUGUCCUACGCCGACAGGUGCGGGGAAUCUUGUCAAACUUCGUCGUGAUGGGGAUUGAUUAUUGAAAUUCUCGAUCAUCAACGAGGAAUUCCUAGUAAGCGCAAGUCAGCAGCUUGCGUUGAUUACGUCCCUGCCCUUUGUACACACCGCCCGUCGCUACUACCGAUUGAAUGGUUUAGUGAGAUCUUCGGAUUGGCGCCACUGCGGCUCAGCAAUGGGCUCGGUGGAUGCCGAAAAGUUGAUCAAACUUGAUCAUUUAGAGGAAGUAAAAGUCGUAACA
rnacentral:rRNA from 1 species